rnacentral:rRNA from 1 species
AUUGAACGCUGGCGGCAUGCCUUACACAUGCAAGUCGAACGGCAGCACGGGUGCUUGCCCCUGGUGGCGAGUGGCGAACGGGUGAGUAAUACAUCGGAACAGGUCCUGUAGUGGGGGAUAGCCCGGCGAAAGCCGGAUUAAUACCGCAUACGAUCCACGGAGGAAAGCGGGGGACCUUCGGGCCUCGCGCUAUGGGGUUGGCCGAUGGCUGAUUAGCUAGUUGGUGGGGUAAAGGCCUACCAAGGCGACGAUCAGUAGCUGGUCUGAGAGGACGACCAGCCACACUGGGACUGAGACACGGCCCAGACUCCUACGGGAGGCAGCAGUGGGGAAUUUUGGACAAUGGGCGAAAGCCUGAUCCAGCAAUGCCGCGUGUGUGAAGAAGGACUUCGGGUUGUAAAGCACUUUUGUCCGGAAAGAAAUCCUUGACUCUAAUACAGUCGGGGGAUGACGGUACCGGAAGAAUAAGCACCGGCUAACUACGUG